rnacentral:lncRNA from 1 species
UAUAAAUAGGUCAGUUAAUCCUGCCCAAUUUUUUAUAAAUGUUCUUUUCAAACUACUAACAUGAUUAGCCAUGAUUGCAUUUUGGCCCAAGUGAAGGCCUAUUCUUACUUUUUGAUGGCUCACUCAUCUUUACAAGGUUAAAUAGCCUUCAUUGCUUGAAAGCUUCCCACAAGUUUUACUUUUCUUAAUCACAUUAUUCCAACUUCAAUAACUUCAUAUUUACAUUAUUAAUAGACUGUCAAAGUGUAUUGAUGUCUGCAUCAGUUUUGAAAAUCCCUUAAGAUUUUCUUUGCAUUGGAUCUAGAGAAAUCAACCCAUUUGGAGAAGAGUGUGAGCAAAAGUGACAGCCCUGCUCUCUUGGCCAUGGAAUUACCAAUGCAUGCACUUAGAUGCACAGGUUGGAAAUAAAAUAGGUUCUGAAGAACGGAACUUCCACUCCUUUCCCGGGAAGACAAUUCUCCGGUGUAGUCCCUCAAAUUAUUUAAGAAUUGCACAACUUGACUUACUUUUGCCGUCUUGUAUCUCGAUUAUCUCUCUCCGUGUGAGAUCCCUCACCAAGACAGCUUGCAAGCAUUUCACAAAUUGUAAUAAAAGAACCACCUACAUGUACGUCAAUACUGACAGAUCUGGAUCAUCUUAUUUUCACCUGAUAUAUGUUCAGGCUCAAUUGAAAACUAAUUUAUGGAAUGAAUAUUUACUGGAAGAGUGAGUUUGGCCUUAUCAUACACACACAUUUUGAGAACAAGUGAAUAAAGCUACUUUGGAG